UACGAAGGGGGCUAGCGUUGCUCGGAAUUACUGGGCGUAAAACGCACGUAGGCGGCUUUCUAAGUCGGGGGUGAAAUCCUGGAGCUCAACUCCAGAACUGCCUUCGAUACUGGAGAGCUUGAGUCCGGGAGAGGUGAGUGGAACUGCGAGUGUAGAGGUGAAAUUCGUAGAUAUUCGCAAGAACACCAGUGGCGAAGGCGGCUCACUGGCCCGGUACUGGCGCUGAGGUGCGAAAAGCGUGGGGGAGCAAACAGG
rnacentral:rRNA from 1 species